UUUUUUUUUUUUGAAGUGUAGAGGAAAAAGGACGGAAAAGGGGUUUUGUUGUAUUAGGAAAAGGGCCAAGGAUCAGCUAUGGACAUAGCAAGGCGAAAGAGUGUAAGGCAGACUUCAGAGAGAGAUGUUGGUAUAUUUGACAUCGUUACGCCUCUCAACAACCGAGUAUUUCAUUCGGAACCGGACACAAAAUUCCUAGCCUUGUAUUGUUUUGUCUUUUGUUUCUCUGUAGAACUAAACUCAAGACCGGAGAAAAUAGGGGCAGAGUAAGGGGAGAUGAUGAAAGACCUGACUAUAAAUAAAUAGACAACGCAAAGAAAACUCAAAGAGGUUGAAAAAAUGAAAGUGGGAGAAAUUGAAAGGAUGAACAAGAGUGAGAAAGAGAGGUUUAAUCAUAAAAUAAUAAUCCAUGAAAAAUCUUUUAUCUUUUAAAAUGAAUAUCUAUGUUUUUAAUUAUAUAUUUAUUCAUAUAGUUGGUUAUAUAAAAUUAUUCUUUUGAAAAUACUUCCCGACCUUGAAAACAACAAUUAUUCUUUUUAAAAUUAGAAUAAAAUAUUGAUUUUAAAACAAUGAAGAGGAUAAGCCGUGGGAAUGCUUUGAAAUGAAGUGAUGAGGAAAAUUGAUGUUUACUUUUCCUCCUAACCCAUUUCACACAACACAUUUGUUUAAUACUAUAAUUGUGAGUGUCGCCAUUUGAAUUAUAAAACUAAAUUGCAACUUCCACAUAAAACUCUACCCAAGCCUCUCUUUCACCAGUUACUGCCCGGAGUUUUUUAAUGCAUGAAGUGGCGGUUGUUUGCUCUCGUCUCGUCUGAAAAACAGAAAAGUUAUUCUUAUAUUUCCUUUUACGUACGGAAGCCUGUACCUGCACCUUCUGCAUCUACCCCUUGGCUGCUUCCAAGGGACAUUAUACGUAUUGUACGAUAUACACAAACUUUGAUUACGUCAAAAACCUUGACUUUCAUAUAUCAACCUUUUUAUUUGUUGGGUCGUUGGUCAUGUCUCGCUAGUAGUUUUAAGAUUUCAAGCGUUUGUAUUUGAGUUUUAAGUUGUUUUAAAUUUAAAUUUUAUCAUCUAUAUAGUGUACCUAUUCAUGAGUUGAAUCAUUUGAUUCAGAUCGAAAGCUCAUCUAAAAUUUGAGAGUAUUUAAACAAAAAUAUAGGCAUGAAAAAUUGGCUUAUAAAAAAAAUAAAGCUCAUUUAAAAAAUGGGCCGGUCUUUGAGUAAUGCAUUUUUGGCCUAGGCUUGGCCCAACUCGAAAUCAUUAAAGGACAAAAAAUUUUGCUUUUUGUUUUUUAAUGUUAUUUUCUCCUUAUUUUGCUACCAUUUUACUAUUAUGUUGUUAUUGUUUGUAUGUUGUAUAAAACCUGUUUUAUUGUUAAUUUUGUUAUUAUUUUAGAGGCAUUCAUUAAUUUUGUUAUUAUUUUAGAGGCAUUUACUUGUUAAGUUGCAUCUAUCUUAAUGUUAUUUAAGUAAACAUAUUUUUUAAAAUUUAUUUUUAAUUUGUUGGGAAAUAUUUAUUUUGAUCUAUUUAGUAUUUUUGAUGUAUUAUAUAUAUUUUAAAAAUAUAAAAAAUUACUAUGGGUAGGCCGAACUCGGGUUUUAGCAUUUUUAUCUAAGUCCGUCUUGGACAAAAUUUUAGGCCCAUUUUUCAGCUAGGCCCUAGCCAAGGAAACAUGCCUAAAUUUUUAGUUGGGCACAACCUAAACCCAACCCCACCCCACCCCACCCCUAAACACCUCUAGUGUAUAAGGGCAAAGUUAGAAAUUUUUUGGAGUAAACUUAAAUUAUAUUUUUUUAUAAUAGUAAAAAUACAAUUUUGUCAUUUUAAUAAUCUAUAUCUUUAUCAUUUUUAAAUAAUUAAAUAAAAAAUUUAUCAUUUUUGAGAGGGUCAAAGUACAAUUUUAUCAUUACUAAUUUAAAUUUUUAUAAAUUAUAAAAAGUUUAAAUAAAAAAAUAUUCAUUUUAGGAGAGGUUGAAGCCCUUGCCACCCCCUAGAUCCACCCCGCAUAUGUAGGCCUUAUUCAAAUUCGUUAUUGUAUAGAUCAAUCAUUUAUUAUAAGUGGUUUGUAGUGUACUUGUAAUUAUAAUUGCAAUUGUAUUUGUAAACUCCUUUAAAAAAUUUCACUGCAUGACCUGAUAGGAAAGUAUUGAAAAGUAAAAAUUUAACAAGUACCUUGAAAUAUAUUGUUAGACAAAAUACAUUAGCGAACAAAAUAAAUUAAAUAUAAAUAAACACAUUGAAAUAAAAUAUAAAUAGUAUGAUUUAUAAUUAAUUUAUCAAAUAUGAAAAUCAAAUAAAACCAUAAUAAAUAAUUGAAAUAAAGGAGAAUCGAGAUUUUACAAAACAUUGAGGCUUGUGAAACACAGUUUCUUUAAGACAGUUCGGCCACUCCUACGGUACUUGGAGAAAUGUUGGUCGAAUGUCUCCCAGGAUACAACAACAACAGUGAUUAAAGUAGUAGCACCUCUACAACGAUCAACGAACGAACUUUGCAUUUUUUUAUCACCAGAAUAUUGUAAAAAUACGGAGAGGUAAAGAAGAGUUUUGAAAUGAAAAGAAUUUUAGUAUAGGAAAUUAUUAGAAUGUGUGUGUAAUCCUACAGAAUACACAGCCUUUUAUAGGUAUUUAGGAUAUUGGAAAAUUUUGGAAAUAACCAUAACAUCUGCCAUUAAGGAGCCAAAAAUUAAUUCAGAUACUGUCCAUAUAUAAGCAAAUCAUUUGGGCCCCAUCGAUCUAGACAAUUUCACAUCGCCCAUGUUAUACAGGUGCAUCCUAACCCCAUUGAGUUUGAACCUACACCUCCCUACGCGCGAGACAAAAUUACAAACUUAAUCAUUCAAUUAUUUUUUAAGGGGGUUCACAUAUAUAAACCCAUCUCACACUUCGGUAUUUAACCAAUGUGGGAUCUAAGCUUUUAUUUUUCCUUAACAAUAUUUUCAAGUAGCUUACUUAGAGCAUCAAUUUCUCAUUCAUCACUCAACCAUUUUAAGCAUAUGAUAUACCGUUGUAAAGGUCUCAUACAGUAGAAUAUGAAACCAUAAUUUUAUAAUUCAACUCUCCACCUUUACCUAUUGAGAAUAUGCCUCAAAGUUUCUAUAAAAUAUAUUUUUUUCAACAUAUAUUUAAAAAAUUUAAAAUAUAAUUCAAAUUAACUUUAUGUACAAUUUAACAAUUUCAUUGUCGAUUUUCUCAUCUUAUUAACAUAAAUCAUAUAAAUCAAGUUUUGAGUAAAUAAAAAAAUCUAACUAUUUGAUAGAUAAAAAAAAAAAAAGGUCCAAGUGCCAAAUCUAUAUUUAAGGAUAAUAAUUCAUAUCGUUAAUAUAUAUUUUGUCCCAUGAAUUUGAUUAUUUGGACUUAACUAACAAUCUCAUAAAAUCACACGUGGCAAGCAUGAAAAAAAUUUAAAAUAUAAAAACCCAAAAAGAUACCACAACAAUUAUUAUAUAAAAUAGGGUGAUUAGACUUACGAAGAAGAAAACAUAUAAAUAACGUGAAAUUUUUCCUGAAUAUGAUAAAAAUAUUAUAAAAAAUACAAAAAUUCUAUUUAAAAAAAACCCUAUAACUGAGAGUUUUUAUUAAAUUUCUAACGAUAUAAAUUUUUUUCUAAAAAUACCUUAAUUUGUUUCUAAAAUUAUCUUUUUUAUAUUAUUAUUUUAAAAUUAAAUAUAUAUAUAAUUACUUUAAAAAAAAACAUAACAUCUAAGUUUAUUUGAAUCCAAAAAUCUAUUUAUUUGGAUUCAUUCUAGACAUGAAUUAUUUUUUUACAAGUUCAUAUAUUUAAAAAUUUUUAUUAUUGCUUACUAUUAGCCACAUGUUAUAAUAUGAGAUCAUCACAUGUUGUUGUAUUAUUGGUUGCUAGUGUCGCACUAUCACAUUCUAAUUUUAAUGAUACAAGUAUUAAAGUGUGACGAAUUCUAAGCUGGGUCUAAAAAAAUUAAAUACUAAAUAUAAGUGUUUAAGUUUAAAGAAAAAUUAUAUACUAACCCCUCAAAUGUGAUAAAUUUAUCCGAUUAAUCUAAAUUAUAGGUUUUGAAAAAGAAAAAAAAAAUCUAAAUGAUGGGCAGAGUUAACCCCUUAGUUUUACUAUUGGUGAAAAAAGAGUUACCUUGAGCUACUGUUUAGUUAGCUGAAAUGACCAUUUCAUUUCCUGUGAGAUUUUUGGGCUACCUGAAUUUUCAUAUAAAUCUUCUUCCCGUUGACCCAAAAAUAAAACAUGCUUCUCGUGUGGCAGGGGCCCCAAAAAGACCCAGAUCUGAACACAAUGGGGAUUGGGGAAGGGUAAUUCAAAGGGCUAAAUUACUUUUUAAUCCCUGAAUUUGGCAAAAUUUUCCAACUUAAUCAUUCAACUUUAUUUUUUUCCACAUCAAUCUUGAAACUUGACUAAUUUUCUUAAUUUUGAUCCUGUAACACUUAAAACAUUAUAAUUUUUAAUAAAAAAAAUUAAGCAAUAACGUGACACAUUUCACAAGAUCAAGAUUGAAAAAAAUUAUCAAAUUCAAAAAAUAUAUAUAUAAAAUUCAGAAAUUAAAUGUUGCGCAUUCGCGUGUAAUGCUUGACAAUGGCAGCCAGGUUGCAGUCAUUAAGCUUCAACCCUAGAGCAUAACAAACAUACACAUCCAAACAAAAAGCACAUAGGGCAGACAAGAAAAGGACAUUAAGUAGAAAUCCCAAAACUAGGUUAUCCACCUUAAUUAGUCAAAAAUGGUACUACAGGUUGUUACAAAUAAAAGAAAGCAGUGUCAAAUCUAAACAUACAGAUAGCUUUCUGACAUAUGAUUAGAACUAAACCAUCAAUGAAAUGAAGUAAGAAAAAACCAAGUUAUUGCCACGACAAAUGACAAAUGAAAAUAAUUAUCGUCAUCUCAAGGGAGGUUGCAAUAAAACCCGAGUCACACAGUCAAAGCAGGUACAAACUAUACCAGAGAAGGGCCAGAAUCUCAGUUUGGUGGAAGAAACUAAGAUACCAUAAGCCGGAAGAAAUGAGUUGGGGGAUCAAAGCAAUCUAAGAAACUGAUCAAUUCAUAAAGAAAAAAACUUGGCGGACAAUAUCUUAUAUGUUUAAAAAGAGAACUUAUAUCAUAUAACAUUAAUGAGAGAAGCAACAGAAACCCCCAAAAUUAUUCUUUAUAUGUAAUUAAACAAAUAUAAGAAUACCAUAAUCAUAAAAAAUGAAAAUAUGGUAAAGGGCCUCAGUUUAGACUAAAUUUGAUCAUGAUUCAAGUCUCUUGACCUGACAUGAAAGCCCGUUCAAAAAAUGAGAAGAUUUGGGCAAAAAUAUGGAGAGAGAACGGAUUCGGCCACAAGUAAGCUUUUUUUGCCCGGGCUUGACCUAGGCUAAAUUUGGAAAAAAAUACUUGCUACUUUUUGCUGCCGUUUUAUCACUAUUUUGGUGUUGUUUUGCUAUUAUAUUGCUACAAUUUUGUUGCUAUUAUUUGUAUAUUGUAUAACUUUUGUUUUAUUGUUAAUUUUGCUACCAUUUUAGAAGUAUUUACUUGUUAAGUUACACCUAGAGGUGUUCAUGGGCCGAGCUACCCGGCUCGACUCGAAGACCCGCCAGAAAUGUGAGAGGGUUUGGGCAAAAAUAUAGACCCGAAAAAUGGGCUUGGACAAAAAAUAAGGCCCAUUUAAAAAAUGAGCCGGGCCUCAGGUAAGGUAUUUUUAGCCCAGCCAAAUUCACUAAAGUACAAAAAAAAUCUGUAUUUUUUUAUUUUUGAAUGUUAUUUUCUUAUUGUUUUCUCCUUAUUUUGCUACCAUUUUACUAUCAUGUUACUACUAUUUUGUUGUUAUUGUUUGGAUAUUGUAUAAAACUUAUUUUAUUGUUAAUUUUGUUAUUAUUUUAAAGGCAUUUGUUAAUUUUUUAUUAUUAUUUUAGAGGCAUUUGCUUGAUAAGUUGCAUCUAUCUUAUUGUUAUUUAAGUCUACAAAUUUUUUAAAAUUUAUUUUCAAUUUAUUGGAAAAUAUUUAUUUUGAUGUUUUUAGUAUUUUUAAUGUAUUAUAUAUAUUUAAAAAUAAUAUAAAAAAAUAAUAUGGCCGGGCUGGGCCCGGGUUUUAAUAUUUUUAUCCGGGUCGAGUUUAGGCAAAAUUUUAGGCCCAUUUUUUGGGCCCAGCCCGGCCGGAGCCCAAUAAAUGGGAAUGAUUUUUUAGUUGAGCCCGACCCAAAUCUGGCCCGGCCCGGCCCGACCCUUGAACACCUCUAGUUACACCUAUCUUAGUGUUAUUUAAGUAUAAGUAAUUUUUUAAAUCUAUUUUCAAUUUGUUAGAAAAUAUUUAUUUUAAUAUUUCUAGUGUAUUUGAUGUAUUAUAUUUUUAAAUUUUAUUUUUAUAUAAAAAGAUAUAAUACGGGUAGGCCGAAUCGAAUUUGAAUUUUAAAAUUUUUAUUGGAGUAAAAGUUUAGAUUAAUUUUUCAGAUAUGAGUCGAGAACCAAUUUGGCACAUGAUGAGCUGUAGUUUAGACGGAUACUCAUUACAUCAACAUGAUAUGGAAAAAGAAGCAGUGAUAUUCUUCCACGUUUUGAAGGCUUAACAAACGCAUUUAUUAUCACAUUAAUUAAUUAAUAUAACAAGGCCCGUCAACUUAUACGCUUACUAAUACAUAUAAUAAAUAAUUGAAUAAUAUUGUAUAAAUAUAAACGAAUUAGAUGGACAACAAAUUUAAAAAAAUUUAUGCCACAACAUUGUUACAUUAGCAUUUCAAUGUGAAGAUCUUCAAAAGAUUGAAUUCCAUUUUGACAUUUUGUGGUAAAAGAAAUCUCUCAUACCAUGUUAUUUCUCUAAAAAAGUAUUGGAAUUUUGAAAGUGAACAAUUAAGGAUAAUUAAUCAUAACAUUAAUAUCUUUAGUCAAUUGUACAUAAUUUUGAUUGAUAUAACAAUAAAUUUAGCUCUCGAUUUGUCAAUUUAGUUUAGUUCUAAAAAGUUGAACAAAUUUAGCUUCAACAUUUACAUAUUUAUAUAAAUGUUGCAUGCUAAAUUUAUUAAAUCAUAUUAAUAUUGUGAUUAAUUGUACUUAAUUAAUUGACAGAAAUUAAAUUACUUUUGAUUUUUUUUAAAGAGAUCAAUUUAUUCCAAAUUUCAUUGUUUAAAAAUAAGCUAUAAUCAUUGCUUCAUAGUAACUUUAAAUGUGGCAACAAGCUAAAGGAGGGAGUGAUUAAGAAUUUGGUAUUGGCAUUUGAGAUUUAAGGUUUGUUGACAGUCACAUCCUCCCUCCCUAUUGUAGUGUACCAAAAAAGAAAAACUAACUUUACAGCUUCUUAAAACCUAUGGAAUAAGCUUUUUCAUGUUUACUUUUUAUGCAUCUUUUAUAGUUCAAACCACACUUUAAAACAUUGACCAUAAAAAUAAAAUCAAGUGUACCAUUGAAAAUUUUAAUAAAAAUUCACCGCUUUGAAAAUCAGAAGAGUAAUAAAAUAUAAAGCAAUUUCCAAAACUCUUUCUAACAUAAGUGGAAGAGAGUUGGGACUUAGUAUUAACUCAAAGCAAAAUCAUUUUUACAUACAAAGGAACAUCUGUUCGGUGAAAUUUUCCAAGUAGGUUUAGGGUUUGUUACAUUAAUUAAUGACAAAAGAGUAAUAUAAUAAUUUAAAUGGUCAGAGAGCUUAAUAUUUUUUUCUUAAAAAAAAAAAAGGGUUAUUAAUUAAGAUCAGCUGGUUUGUUCCCAGUAAACAUGGGGAUGUUUUUUAGAUUUGAGACACGAGUAUAGUGCUUUGUGAUUCAGCUGUAUCCACUAGACAUGGUAAGUGUUACAGUUAAAAAGAUAAAGGCUAAAGCCUGGUCAUAACCAUGAAAACGAGGGGACCAUGGAACUAGUUUUCAUGAUUGGAUUGAUGGUAAUGACAUAAGCACUGGCAUGCACCUUUCGUCCCCCCUUCAUUUACCACCCAAUGUUUUACUGGUCGCUGCUACACAUACAUACAAAUGUAUUGGAAGUGAUCAAGUGGCAGCAGCUGCGAUGUUGGGAUAGUUCCCUUGCUUCCAAGUGUUGAAACAAGUUCAUAGCUAAUUUUAAGUUUGUAAGAGAUAAUGUAGUAUAAGACAAUAAUAUAUUAUGAUUCAUCAUAAUCCAUCACAUGUCACACAGAUUUUGUUUCAUCUUAUCGGAUAAAUCAUGGUGUUGCUCUAAUUGUUUGCCCAAUGGACCUACCUGCUCUAUUUAAUUAUACUAUAUCUCAAAUCCAAAUUUAUGUAAUUUAAUUAGGUUUUUUUUAAAAUAUAAUGUCUAAAGUUAUUCAUAACUCUUUUUAACUUGUAAAUAGAAUUGUUUAAACCCACAUCCUCUUAUACUAGCAACUCAAUUGACUUAAUUUGGCUAUUUUUAGUCUUUUUACUUUCAAUUUUAAUUUUUUAAUCCUAAUCCAAUAGGUUUGACUGUUAAAUCUUAUGCAAUGCAUAAAUUAUGGAUUUAGUCGUGUUCUUUAAUUUUAUUAUUUUUAGUUCAUGUAUUUUUCAAAUUUUAUUUUUGACUCAAAUGAUAACCUUUAGGUCUAUUAACUAAAAUAACUUGAAUUUUUUUGAGCAUUCUAUGGAAAUAACAAACUAAUAUGAUAUUAAAAAUAUGAUAACAUAUUUACUGCAUAAGGUUUUGAAAAAAGUAAAAAUUAAUUUAAUAAAUUCAACUGAUGUUAUUUGAAUUAGGACUAAAAUUUCAUAAUUCAAAAAAUAAAUAAACUAAAAAUAAUUAAAAUAUAAAAAUUAAAUCUAUCACAUAAUACAAAAACUAAUAAUAACAUUUUACAUCAUUUUAAACAAUUUAAGAGAGUCAGAAAGAGUGCUUUGCUUAGAGUCCUAGAGAAAGCAGUAACUGCUGUGGCUUGGGAUGGAGGAAAGUGAUGGGGACGAUUGAGAGGGGAGGGAUGAGAUCUCUCUACUAGCAGAAGAACUCAUUCAACUAUCAGUCAAAGGUUUGAUGGUAGUACCAAGUGCAAAAUCAACUCUGAUUUGUACAAUUUAGACAGAGAAGCUUUACAAUUCAAAAAGCUUUAGGGCACAGAUGAAAAGUAUAUGGAAGACAAGGAAAAAAUUUAAGAUCCAGAUGGUGGGGCAGAAUUUAUUUUUGAUAGUAUUGUUUGAUUUGGAAGAAGAUCUGGAGACAAUUAUGGAGGGGAGACCAUGGCUUUUUCGAAAAAGUCUUAUAUUAUUUGAUAGAUUAACUCAAUCGAUGGAAAGAGCCCAGAUUCGGCUUACUUCAUCACUAUUUUGGAUAAAAAUAGGCUCGUGUUUAUUAGAGUUUGAUAAAAAAGAUCUUUUGCAUGCAAUUGGUGUCAUGUUUGGAGGGGUAAUCAGAUCUGAAAUCAAUGGAGAUUUAUGCCAUCUAAGGAUUAAUUUGGAUGUGCAAAAAUCACUUCGAUGAGGUAUAUUUGUCUCAAUUGAUAAUAUUAAUAAAUCGUGGGUUCGUUUUAAGUAUGAGAAAUUACUGAUGUUUUGCUUUGGAUGUGGAAGAAUGGGGCAUGGUUUCAAAGACUGUCUUCAGCUAAAUCCUGCAGAAAAAAGUAAAAUCAGAGAUGAUCCACCUUAUACGGCGGCUUUAAAAGUAGAAUAAAAUUUAAUUGGGAAGGAGAGUAUGAAAUUUAAUGUUUUUUCAAAGAAGGUGGGGGCUCAAUGCUCUUAUACAGAAGGUACAGAAUUGCUGCCAAACUACAACACCUGUAGAGAGAAACAACAAGAAUUGGAGGCCACAAGGGAAUGUGCAACUGAUUGGAGUGGAGAAUGAGAUUAAGAAGCAGGAGGACAUAUCUAUAAUAAAGGAAGAUGAACAGUUAAAUGACAACAAUAAAAAGUAGGUUAUUAAUUUAAAUCUAACUAAGAAGACAAGCUAGAAAAGAAUUGGUCCAGUGGCCACGAUGAGUCAAAGAAAAGAUGAUAGUAGCACGAGGAAGAUGAAAUCCCCAGAAGAAUGAAUCGACAUUUGUGGGAUGGAAGUUGCAUAUGAAGAUAGAAAAAAAAGAUUGAAACAGGAAGGAAAAGAUGAUCGUGAUCAAGUCUUACCAGAAGUGAUGACUGAAAACCUGGAGCAAAUUGAUACUUUAGAAUUUAUGGGAUCAACGGCUGCCAAAAGGCAAGCCGACCGAACGUAAUUAAAAACAUAAGUUGGAAUGUCCAUGGAUUGGGGAGUCUAUGGGCGGUAAGAAGGCUACGAUAUUUUUUAAAGCAGCACAAUCCCCAUAUAGUCUUCUUAAUGGAGACCAAACUUGACAAGCAACGCAUGGAAAAGGUCGGAAGGAGCUGUGAUUUCCAGAAUAGGAUUGAUGUCGAAGCUAAAAUUUCGCGAGGUGGAUUAUGUUUAGCAUGGAAAGGAGAUAUUGUAGUUAAUUUAAAAAGUUUCUCUAAGAACCACAUUGAUGUCUUGGUUAAAGAGGAAAAUGACAAAGAAGAAUGGAGAUUCACGGGUUUCUAUGGUUCACCCUAUGUUAAUAAUAAUGCUUCUUAGAAUCUGCUAAGGAAAUUAGAACAAGAUCAAAAUCAUCUAUGGUUAGUAAGCGGUGAUUUUAAUGAAAUCAUGUAUUAUUUUGAAAAAAAGUGGAGGGAUACCAAGAGAGGAGAGAAGAAUGGAGGCCCUCCGAGAGACUUUAGAAGAAUGCCAGUUAGAAGAUUUGAGAUAUUUGGGGGUUUGGUUUACAUGGGAAAGGGGGAAUUUGCCAGAAACAAAUAUCAAGGAAAGACUGGAUAGGAGAGUUAUAAAUGAUAAAUUGAGGCAUCUAUUUCUAACAGGUAACAUUCAACAUUUAUCCCAUUCGAUGUCUGAUCACUGUUCACUUCUUCUAAAUACAAAAAGUGGAAACAAUUAUGUGGGAAACCCAAGAUUUAAAUUUGAGGCAUGGUGGAUCAUGGAGGAGACACUUGAGGAAGAAAUUAAAACAUCAUGGGAAUCAAUAACAGGCAUAAUAGUGGAGAAAUUUGAACGAUUACAAUCAGAUCUAAAGGUAUGGGAGAGAUCAAUUAAAAAAGUCGAGAGGGAUUAAAGAAAAAGCUCACCAAGGAACUUGAAAUGUUGAUGGCGGAAGAAAUGAAUGAUGAAACGAUGGCAAAAAUUAUUGAUACUAAGAUUUUUCUUAAUAUGAAAAUUGAUAAAGAUGAAUUGUACUAGGAACAAAGGGAAAUGGCAAAUUGACUUAAAGUAAGGGACAAGAAUUCAGCCUUCUUUCACAAGUAUGCCUCAUUUCGUAAACGAAUAAACACAAUAUCUAGGCUGGAGCUAGAUGGAGGAGGAGAGGCUACCGAAGCAAGUGAGAUCAAUGAAGCUGCUACCUUAUUUUUUAGAAGCUAUUUAUGUGAAAUGGAGUUAGGGAUCUAUCUCAUCUAUUAACAGACAUAGAAAAUAAUAUUUCGUUAGACAUUAAUAUUGCUCUAUUAUCAACUUAUACAGAAGAAGAAGUGCAUUUGGCCUUGAAAAGGAUGGGGCCUACUAAAGCACCAGGACCUGAUGGUUUCCUAGCACUAUUUUCUCAGAGAUAUUGGCACAUUGUAGGUGAUAAAGUCACAACUUUCUGUUUGGGAAUUUUAAAUAAUGAUCAGAGUUUUGGCUCUCUCAACCUAAUGGAUAUCAUGUUGAUCCCAAAUAUUCCAAAUCCCACAAGUCUAGUCAACUAUAGACCUAUUAGUUUGUGUUUGGUCCUAUAUAAAAUUGUGGCUAAGACAAUUACUAAUCGACUUCAAGCAGUAAUUGGGAGAUGUAUUGAUGCGGCCAAAGUGCUUUCGUCCCGAGAAGGUUAAUUUCCGAUAAUGUGCUCUUAACUUAUGAGAUUUUGCAUACUUUUCGACAAAAACGCAUAGGGAAAAAAGGAAAUAUGGUAGUAAAGCUUGAUAUGAGCAAAGCCUAUGAUAGAGUUGAAUGGGGUUUUAUUAAGGAAGUUAUGUUAUGGAUGAGUUUUGCAAAGGAAUGGGUGGAACUAAUUAUGAAAUGCAUUACCACAACGUCUUAUGCAGUUAAUAUAAAUGGAGGAAGGGGAAGAAUUUUUCAAUUGACUAGAGGCUUGCGUCAGGGAGAUCCUCUAACUCCCUUCCUUUUUCUGUUGUGUAGCGAGGGACUUUCAUUGUUGAUGAGACUAGCAAUGAAUGAGGGUUUGCUAAAAGGUGUAAAGGCUAGUAGGAGAGGUCCAAAAAUAUCACAUUUACUUUUUGCAUAUGAUUGUAUACUGUUCAGUGAAGUAUCAGACAAGGGAACAAUGCUACUAAAAGGAAUCCUGAAGGAGUAUGAAAAAUACUCAGGCCAAUGUGUAAAUUUCAAUAAAUCCACGAUUUUCUACAGUUCGAACACUUCAGAAGAAAAGAAAUAUGAAGUCUCGACAAUCUUAGGGGUAAUAAGGUCAACAAAUUUGGAAAAGUAUUUAGGCCUUCCUAAUAUAGUUGGUAGACGAAAGAAAGAGUCUUUUCAGAAUCUUAAAAAGAAGGUUUACUCCAAAAUUGAAGGGUGGAGCACUAGAUUAUUAUCACAAGGAGGUAAGGAAGUCUUUAUAAAAUCAGUGCUUUAGGCUAUUCCAACCUAUGCCAUGUCUUGUUUUCUUCUUCCAAAUUCUCUUUGUAGAGAAUUAGAAAGUAUUUUUGCUAAAUUCUGGUGGCAAAAAGCACAUGGAAAAAAAGGAAUACAUUGGUGUCAGUGGAAGUAUAUGUGUCAACCUAAAGAAGGUGGAAUGGGCCUUAGGAAUAUGGCUUGAUUUAAUGUCUCACUGCUAGUUAAGCAAGGUUGGAGAAUUCUAAACAAUCCAAACUCUUUAGUUGCGCAAGUUUUAAAAGAAAAAUAUUUUCCAAGUGUGAAUUUUUUAAAUUUGCAUUUUGGGAACAAUAGUUUGUACACAUGGAAGAGCAUAUGGGCAACAAAGGGCAUUUUAGAGGAGGGACUAUGCUGGAAGGUGGGCAGGGGUAUGAAUAUUUCAGUUAUUAAUGACGUAUGGCUUUCAGAUGCAAGAAAUGUCAUAUUAUCAUCUUUAGUUAAUAAUUUGAGCGAUUUUAAAGUUAUUGAGUUAAUUGAUACUAAUAGCAGAACAUGGAAAAAGGAGUUGAUAGUCUUUACCUUUCCGGAGGAAGUAGCUGAAAAGAUUCUUCGCAUUCCGUUGGCAGAAGAACCCCAUGAUGAUUUUUGGGCCUGGAGUGGUGAGCCUUCGGGAGAAUACACAGUGCGUAGCGCUUAUAAACUAUUACAAAGCACGAAAGAAGAUCCUAGAACUUAUGCUUUACAAACCGACUAUAGGGAAUUUUAUAAAAAAUUAUGGCUACUCAAUCUACCUUCAAAAAUAAAAAUUACAGUCUGAAAAAUAUCAUAGAACUAUCUACCUAUACGAGUCAACAUGCAACAUAGGAAGUUAUCAAACACUACAACCUGCCCCCGGUGUAAAAGAGGAACAAAAAAUAUAGACCACCUCUUCCGUGAAUGUCCUGUUUCAGUAUCAAUAUGGAGAGAGUUAUCAUGCCAGAAUUUUCUAUAAGAACCUCAUUUGGAGUUUUUACAGUGGCUAACCUGGGUGUUUGCACAGAGUACUCCAUCCUAGUAUAGGAUUUUUUGCUGUGUCUUAUGGGCAAUAUGAGGAGACAAGAACUUUAGAAUGCAUAAGAAGGUCAGUAAAUCUGGAAAAGAAAUAGUGAGCUUCGUUAAUAGCUACAUUUCUGAGUUAAAUGAGAUUGAAAAAAGAAGUCCCAAAAUUUCUCCAGCAGUUAGUAAGUGGAACCACCCACCUGGCCAGUUCGUGAAGAUAAAUUUUGAUGCAGCAUAUGAUGGGAGAUUUUGUCAAUCAGCAGUAGGGAUUGUGGCCAGAAAUAGUGAAGGCAAUGUUCUUUUAUCCUGUUCAGAAAUCCAUCAACGAGUAGCAUCAGCCUUCGCUGCUGAGGCUCUCGUGUGCCGCAAAGCUACCCGAAUUGGCAUCGACAUACAAUGGCCAAAAAUUAUCAUUGAAGGCGAUUCAUUAUCAAUAAUAAAAAAGUGCAAUGUGAAAAGUCCAGAUAAGUCAUAGUAGGUGCUUAUAUACAUGAUAUUCAAUAGCUACUGUUAAAAUCCAGAAACUGUAGAUUUGAAUAUAUCCCACGAAUAGCAAAUAGUUUAGCACAUAUUUUAGCUAUUGAAACUCUGAAGAAUAAGAAGGAGCUUUACCUGGUAGGAAGCGUCCCCGAAUAUGCAGAAAAGCAAACAUAAAGGGAUAGGAUGAGAGAACCAAACUGAAAAUAAAGAGAAAAAGAUGAAAUAUGGAGAGUUUGAAAUGGGAAAUCAACGGGUUAGGUGGAAAAAAGCUCUCCUUGGAAUUUAGAAGCUUCUUAGGGAUAAGGAGAGAGUACACGACUGAAAAUAAAGGAAAAAGAUGAAAUAUGGAGAGUUUGAAAUGGGAAAUCAAUGGAUUCUGUGGAAAAAAUCUCUCCUUGGAAAUCUGGUCUUAAAGAAGAAAUGGCAUAUAAUAAGACAAGACAUGUAGCAGAUUGGUUUCUGAUUGGGCAGAGUAAUGAAAGUUUUAAUGCGGUUUUAGAGUCUUUUGAUUUUCUUUGUUUGAAUUUUUCGGGCUAAACAUUAAUUUUAGCCUUCUUUUUCUGUUUUUUUUUUUAUAUUAGGAUUAGUUUCAGCUAUUGUUUUAAAUUUCAUGGUUGAUUUGUCCGGGCCAAGAUCUAUUUCUGGGCCUCUUUCCAUUUGUUUCUCCAUUAGUUUUAUGUUUUGUAUUAUUGAUUUAUUAUAAUAAAGCCCAAUCUGAUUAUUAGCCUAAAAAAUAAUAAUAAAAUUUUACUUAUAAUAUAUAUUUAUUUUCCAUACAGAGAGUCGGCGGUAAGUUAGAAUUUUUUUUUCGAAUGGGAGCAAAUAGAGUUUAUAUUUAAAGAAAAAAAAAAAGAGUGGGAUAAUAUCAUGAAAAUUUGGAGCAUAUUAGGUCAAAAAAAUAGAUUUUUUAUUGAUAUAAUUAAGGAUGAAAAUAAAUAUUUUAGAAUCUCAUGUGAUGGGCCUAAUCGUCAAGGGUAUUUACUGCCUCAAAUAUGGUUUAUCCAAUUUUGUAAUUAAAAAAAAAAGAUUAUAAAACUUAGAGUUGGACUUUAGAUUAUUUGUGAUCUCAACUGGUCAUAGAUUGUUGGGCCUUAUUCAAACUAGCCUUUUUAACUUUUUAUUUGUAAACAAUUUUUAGCCCAACUUAAACAACCUAAUAAAUUAUAGCUUAGGAUUUGUUCUAAUAAAAUCUAUAGAGUUAAUGUCUAGAAUUAAUUGUUUGAAAAUUUAUUAAAAUAUUUUUUUGUAUUUAAAAUAAAUUAUAUUAUUUAAUAUUAUUUUAAUUUUUUACUAAAAAAUAAUAAAAUAUUAUAGAUAUGAUGAGAUUUGAACCAUAUCCUUAUUAAAUUUAAUUUGUACACUUUAUUACCUCUACUAAUUGUAUGUAUUAAUAAUAUUAUUGAUUGAGUUGGUGUCACAAAUUAACUCAACAUCAACUUAGGAUAGACGAUGACUUCAUGAUAUAAACAAUUGUAUUAAUUUAAUAUUCUUAAUCUAAUGUAUUUAUGUGUUUAAAUUUCGUUUUACUCACAAUUUAAUAUAUUUUUUAAUUUUAAUAUUGUACAUAUUUCAUGUGUUAUCAUUAAUUUGUUCCAAAACAUACAUUUCAUUAUUUAUUAUAUGUUAUUUUUAAACACACUCAUGUAUUCUAAUUAUGUGGUUUCUACAUGCACACCUAUGUGAUAAAACUUCUAGUUAAAAAUAGUAGUAAAAGUGAUAUUAAUUAUUAUAACAAUGAGAUUAGAUAUUAUAAUAGUGAAAUUGAUAUCAAUAAUGAAAUUAUGUGUUUGGAUUUAAGUCCAACAAAAAAACAAUAAUGAAAUUGAAAUAAAUAAUUUCUUAUAAUAUUUUAUAGGAGACAGAUGCAGUUUAUAUCAAUGUAAGUCUAGUCUAUUUAUAAGUAGUUUUGCACAUUUUUUAUUCGUAUUUUAACAAUUCAACAACAUAGAGAAUAGAGAGAAAACCAACUGUUUAAAGGGAGGAGCUAGGAAGAAGGGGAGGAGGCCGACAAAAGGAUCCAAGGCUUCCCCCCAAGCUUGGCCAUGUAGAGAAAGCAGAAGAAGAGAGUGUAGAGGCCCAAUUUAGCUCGGGCCUAUAAACCAGAAACCUAAUAACAAAAAAAUAUAAAGUCCAUAAGUCCAAUAGCCCAAUAACUAACUAAACCCUAAACCCAAUAACUAACUAAACCCAUAACCCAAUACCCAAAUAAACAAAUAGGGCCAAAAUGGCCCAAGACCAGAUCAGCCACAGAAACCCUAGGGCUUCCACUUUGGCCCUUCAGCCUCUAGCCCCCGUACCCUCCCAGCUCCGUAUGCUCUAGUGCUUCAGCAGCCACCAGCUUCCGUACGCCCCACGUCGAGUGCCAUGUACCACCACAACUGGCCUCGUUCCCUGUACCUGCAAACCAAAACAGGACAACAGCAAAAUAGCAAAGGAAAUGUAUUUUUCUUUUUAUUUUCUGGCUAUAAGAAGCCCAAAAGGAAUUAUCUUGUUUUUUUUUUACGGAUACCAAGUAAUGAAAUAGAAAACAAAUAUUUUUUAAGGUGGUUGAUUUGCUGUUCUCUUUCUUAUUUUUCUCUUUAUUUCUCGCCUAGUUUUUAUCUGUUUUACUAAGAUACACACAAAAAAAAGGGGAAAAAUCUCUUACCUGUCGAUCGGCACCGACCUAGUCGGUGGUUGCUUCUUCGUCCAAGGGCAGACAGAUCCCUGGGGAUCCGGCUAGAGCCACGACGUAGGGUGAGGCGCAUU
rnacentral:lncRNA from 1 species